rnacentral:rRNA from 1 species
UACGUAGGCAGCGAGCGUUGUUCGGAAUUACUGGGCGUAAAGAGUGUGUAGGCGGUGCUCCCAGUCUGUUGUGAAAUCUCCCGGCUUAACUGGGAGGGUGCAGCGGAAACUAGAGUGCUAGAGGGUGGGAGAGGUAAGCGGAAUUCCUGGUGUAGCGGUGAAAUGCGUAGAGAUCAGGAGGAACACCUGUGGUGUAGACAGCUUACUGGACGGUGACUGACGCUGAGGCACGAAAGCGUGGGUAGCAAACAGG